rnacentral:rRNA from 1 species
CCCUUAGAUGUUCUGGGCAGCACGCGCGCUACAAUGGUCUUCGCAAACGGAUGCAUUCUCGAAGGAGAAUGCCAAUCUUGGAAUCUAUGCCUUGGUCGGGACAGUUGCUUGCAAUUUUUCGACUCGAACCAGGAAUUCCUUGUAAUCGUGAUUCAUCAAAUCACGAUGAAUACGUCCCUGCCCUUUGUACACACCGCCCGUCGCUCCUACCGAUCGAAGAGUUAGGUGAAUUGUUUUGAUCGAUAAGAUUUGACUAUGGUCAACUCUCGUUGUGAAAUUCUGUGAAUCUGACUGUUUAGAGGAAGGAAAAGUCGUAACA